rnacentral:tRNA from 1 species
GACGAGAUAGCCAUGUUUGGUUUAAGGUGACGGUCUGCAAAACCGUAAUCAUGGGUUCGAAUCCCAUUCACGUCU